ACGUUCCGUAAAUCCUUCUGAACUUCUGCUGCAGAUCCCAUCAUCCCAUCGGGCCUCCUCCUUUCAGGCUUUUAUUUUGAAAUGCAAACGGCUGCAGGAAAUGUAGGAGACAAUCCGCCACCUGACUGGACAGUGGAGACCAGUAGAAACCAGUGGAGACCAGUGGGAGGAACUGAGUGGGAAUAUGCAAUUUCUUAUGAAUCAUGGAGCAACGAGCUGAAAGCUGUUUUUACUGACGAUCGAUGGUCAAAAGUCCUCCAGAACCGGUCCGAUGGAGACUUUGGGUCAGAACCGAUGGGACAUUUCCUCAUCACACCUCAUCAUGCAUGCACUUUAUGGAAGCACGUUCCAGUAUCGCCGCGCCACUGGUCCAGUUCAUCCCUGAAAGGAAAACUCCGCCUCUCGCCUCCGUAUAUGGUCGGCUUCCAGGUGAACCCUGACCUCCAGGGUUGCUGGCUGAGGUUCUGCUGCUCAGCCCGGCCGGGUCCAGGAAGCGAUGGCUCCGCCUGAUGGGAGCCGUUUGAAACGUCACAAACUGACAGCAACAACUUCAGAUUGUUCAGUUUUUACAGGAAAAGAAUGAGCUUCAGUUUCAAAGUCACAUUUUCACCCACAUUCAGAAACGUCCAAUAAAAACUUGCUAAAUAUUUAGCUGGAAAUUUGCUUGCUAACUAAAUGUUUAGCUUCAAGCUAUAUAUUUAGCUCACUAACUAAAUACCUCAUUAACUAUUGAGUUUGAAGCCAAACAUUUAGCUGCUAUUUAUAAACUGUGAUGUUUAUAAAUAGAUGAAUAACUCAGUGAAAAUAUAACUUUGAAAGAUAAAAACAUCUUUUUCUCCUAAAACAGACUAAAUAAUCCAAAUUAUUGCUGUUAAUUUUUCCGAACGGCUGCCAUGUUCACGGCUUUUCAGGAAGAGAACCCAGAAAUAGAUCUCAGCUCGGUUCUAGAUAAUCCAGUCGGUUUCAUGAGAACAACAAUAAUCCAUGUUUGGGAUUUCUUGGAUGCAUUUAAACGUUUCCAGCUGAAAGAACCUCGGCUGGGAUUAUUAUUCCCGUCUCUGCCUAAACACAGGAAGCGGUGUGAUUCCCGGUAAGCCUGGGGUCGGAUCCGUCGGAUCGACCCUCCUCAUCUCCGGCUACAGGAGGAGUUUUCCUGAAGGAAACGGAUCUGCGGCUUCCUGCUUUGGUUUUCCUGCAGAACGGAGUUAAAGCACAAUUUAAAGAUGUGAACACGCCUGAAUGAAGAACCUCACCUGAAAUGAUCUUUUUAUAUCUUUGAUUUCUUUCUUCAUGUCAGAAUUCCAGAAGCUUUUUUCCUACCAAACAGCAUGACUCCCUGCUGACACCUUCAAGGUCACCAGGUUCCAUUUCUGUUGAAUUGUGGAGUUUGUACAGUUUCUAUCAUGUUGGUGUUGCCAUCUGUUGCUCUGAAUAAAUCCUGUGUUGCAACACCUGCAAA